rnacentral:rRNA from 1 species
AGUGAACGCUGGCGGCAGGCCUAAUACAUGCAAGUCGAACGGCAGCACAGCAGAGCUUGCUCUGUGGGUGGCGAGUGGCGGACGGGUGAGGAAUACGUGGGAAUCUGCCCAGUCGUGGGGAUAACGUAGGGAAACUUACGCUAAUACCGCAUGCGCCCUUCGGGGAAAGCCGGGGACCUUCGGGCCUGGCGCGAUUGGAUGAGCCCACGUCGGAUUAGCUAGUUGGCGGGGUAAAGGCCCACCAAGGCGACGAUCCGUAGCUGGUCUGAGAGGAUGAUCAGCCACACUGGAACUGAGACACGGUCCAGACUCCUACGGGAGGCAGCAGUAGGGAAUAUUGGACAAUGGGCGCAAGCCUGAUCCAGCCAUGCCGCGUGAGUGAAGAAGGCCCUCGGGUGUAAAGCUCUUUUGUCCGGAAAGAAAAGCGCCGGGUUAAUACCCUGGUGUCCUGACGGUACCGGAAGAAUAAGCACCGGCUAACUUCGUGCCAGCAGCCGCGGUAAU